AAAAUUUAAAAGCUCCAAACCUAUAAGACCUGAGGCUAUCAGCUAUGGAUUAUAGGCGUUAGGGUUAUGUUGGAAACGACAUAGUCUCCCAUUGUGGAAAGGAGAGUUGCUUACUAUU
rnacentral:ncRNA from 1 species